GGCGAACGUCUGUGUAACUUAGAGGAGGGCAGCCCGGGCAGCGGAACCUACACCCGGCACUGCUACAUCUUUUCGUCGCUUGCCGCUGCCUGACGAGGAGCAGCGAGAACGGCGCGCUUCCUGUGGUGUCUGUGAUGAGAGAAACAGAGUCUCAAUUACUGCCAGACGUGGGAGCUAUUGUUACCUGUAAGGUCUCUAGCAUCAAUUCACGCUUUGCUAAAGUACACAUCCUAUACGUGGGGUCCACACCACUUAAGAACUCAUUUCGAGGAACAAUCCGCAAAGAAGAUGUCCGAGCAACUGAAAAAGACAAGGUUGAAAUUUAUAAAAGUUUCCACCCAGGUGACAUUGUUUUGGCCAAAGUGAUCUCCCUAGGUGAUGCACAGUCCAACUACUUGCUGACCACUGCCGAAAAUGAGCUAGGAGUGGUGGUAGCCCACAGUGAGUCAGGUGUCCAGAUGGUUCCCAUCAGCUGGUGUGAGAUGCAGUGUCCUAAGACCCACAUUAAAGAGUUCUGGAAAGUGGCCCGAGUACAGCCUGAAUUCUUGCAGACCUAAGAAUCCACGUUUUACCCCGUGGAGGGAGAUAAGCUGUUUUAAGAGUAUGUAUGUGAAAAUAACACCAAGAUGCCAUUGUCUUUAUUCAAAUACUUAGGAUCAGCAAGCAACCACGUCUAGAAGAAUAGGCUAGAAACUUACUCAGUAGGUGGAACAUUUUUCUUGUCAACCUUUCAGUGGAUUUCAUUCUCUUGAAUUGUAACAACUUGUGUUUUGGAGUCACCAGCA